rnacentral:rRNA from 1 species
CUCUUACUGCUUGGGAACUGAUAGUCUAGAGUGAGGGAGAGGCAGAUGGAAUUGGUGGUGUAGGGGUAAAAUCCGUAGAUAUCACCAAGAAUACCCAUUGCGAAGGCGAUCUGCUGGAACUCAACUGACGCUAAGGCGCGAAAGCGUGGGGAGCAAACAGGAUUAGAUACCCUGGUAGUCCACGCCCUAAACGAUGUACACUAGUUGUUGGGGUGCUAGUCAUCUCAGUAAUGCAGCUAACGCAUUAAGUGUACCGCCUGGGGAGUACGGUCGCAAGAUUAAAACUCAAAGGAAUAGACGGGGACCCGCACAAGCGGUGGAGCAUGUGGUUUAAUUCGAAGAUACGCGAAGAACCUUACCUGGGCUUGAUAUCCUAAGAACCUUUUAGAGAUAAGAGGGUGCUAGCUUGCUAGAACUUAGAGACAGGUGCUGCACGGCUGUCGUCAGCUCGUGUCGUGAGAUGUUGGGUUAAGUCCCGCAACGAGCGCAACCCACGUAUUUAGUUGCUAACGGUUCGGCCGAGCACUCUAAAUAGACUGCCUUCGUAAGGAGGAGGAAGGUGUGGACGACGUCAAGUCAUCAUGGCCCUUAUGCCCAGGGCGACACACGUGCUACAAUGGCAUAUACAAUGAGACGCAAUACCGCGAGGUGGAGCAAAUCUAUAAAAUAUGUCCCAGUUCGGAUUGUUCUCUGCAACUCGAGAGCAUGAAGCCGGAAUCGCUAGUAAUCGUAGAUCAGCCAUGCUACGGUGAAUACGUUCCCGGGUCUUGUACUCACCGCCCGUCACACCAUGGGAGUUGAUUUCACUCGAAGCCGGAAUACUAACA